UUCCUUCUUCUCUCUCGGUUCGUUCGCCUGCGCCCGAUCCCGCCGGCGGCGGCUGCGCUCUAUCCCGCCAUCGCCGGCUGCGCUCCAUCCCGCCGCCACCCGCCCGCCUCCAGUACGCCUCCUCCUCCCCGGCUCCGGCCGGACGCCGCGCGCCCCCGCCGACGCCGCCGCCGCACACCGCACGCCACCGCCGCCCGCGCUUCCGCGCCCCGCCGCCGCCACCGGGCCCUCUCGGCCCCGGCGCCUCUCCCGCCGCCGAAGCAGCAGCACACCGUGGUCCUCGUCCUCCCCGGAUCCGCCGCCGGACCUGCCUGCCCCUGCUUCUUGCCGCCGGAGACCAACAGGAUCCGGCACCCCAAGUCAGGCCGCGCGACGCGCUGCACCUCCAAGCCAGGGAAAGACGCCAUCUGCAGCAGGCUACCGGCGUCGGGGCGAGCUCCAUGAACUUGGCGCCGCAGGCCCGCGCCAUCUCCAGCGGCCGCAAGCCUCCUUGUCCGACGACCUGUACCCCUUCCAAGAAACCGCGCCAGUCCUUCGUCGUACCGCUUCCCCGACAGACAGCUCCUCCACCAAGUACCAGCGGCGGCCUGCCUCCAUUUCCCAACAACUCUCCCGGCGGCUUCCAGCAUACCAAUACUAGAGGGAUCAACAAUCAAAGCACCAUGAAGGCCUUGAUGCCAAGCAUCUCCGAGCUGGCCCGCCUACCAUCUCUGCCAGGGUACCAAGUCUCGAUGUCAUCCUUCGGCCAUGCCGCUGACGGGGACACUCAAAGCACCUCCUCAACACCAGCACUCGACUAUGAGGCCACCGUGGACGACUUCAGUGCACCCAACCUCUUUGACUGGACCCCCACCUCGGACUCCACCCAGGAUUCAAUACCCCUAGAAGGUUGUCAAUCUUAAGACACAAGAAAUUGAGACGGGGGUGGAUGUGCUGACGCAACAUCAAGGCAGUGGAAGCAAGAGAGGUGGCAAUUACCACCAUGAUGAGGAUAUCCAGCUUUGCAGAUCUUGGAGCGACAUCACAACCGAUCCCAUCACUGCAAAUGAUCAGCCGAGCAAGUCGUAUUGGGCAAGGAUCGCUGACCACUUCCAUGACAACAAAUGUUUUGAGUCUAAUAGGACUGUUGCUUCGCUCGAGAAAAGAAUGGGAGGCAUACUGAAGGAUUGCAUGAGAUUUCAAGGAUUCUAUGACGAGAUCAGCGUCGACAUCCAAGUGGUAUUCCUUACACUGAGCAUAUAAAAGAAGCUCAAGCUCUAUAUGCUCGAUGUGACUCCAAAAACAAGUCCUUCGCCUUCAUCCACUGCUGGUUGGAGGUUAGGCACACCGAGAAGUUUCUAUCUCUGCAAGAGGCCAUGAAGCAAUCCAAGAGGCCAAGCACAUCAGAUAAGCAUGCUACACCGGCUGAAGCUGAAGAAAAUGAAGGAGGUCAAGACUUGACACCUGCCAAGCAAGAUCGACCUCCGGGUCGAAAACAGUCGAAGGAGAAACUGAAGAGGAAUGGACGAGGAGUUGAUGAGUGCAUAGAGGUCUGGGGCAUCUUUGUUCAGAUGAAGGUGGAAGAAGCAAAACAAAAAGAAGAAAGAUGGAAAGAAUCAACCAGGCUUGCAGAGAGGAAGAUUGAAGAAAGUUCCGGGAUUGAGGAGAAGAAGCUUGAAGAAUCUACCAGGCUUGAGGAGAAGAGGCUCGAGAUAGAGGAGCGGCGGUUGAUGUGGGAGCAAGAGCAAAAGAUUAUGUUCUGUGAUCUCAGCUCGAUGGACGAGAGUCAGAGAGCCAACGUUCGAGUGAUGAGGGCACAGGUUGCAGCGGCAAAGGUUGCCUCACUCAAUUCGGGGGCAAGCGAGCAUGCCAGCGGGGCGGCUGGGGAUGACGCAAGCUCCGCGUGAUACUUUCCCGAGGUUAUGCUGACAGGCUGAGCUGAGCAAUAAAUUAAGUUUAUUGGACAGGCUGUGGCAAAAAAAAAAGGAUUUAGGCUGAAUAGGUUUUGCAUUUGUGGCUGAAACAUUUCAGAGAUUUAGGUACUAAUGUUUGUAAGCUGAAUGUUUGAGUAUCUCCCAUUUCAGAGAUUUUGUGGUCUGAAUGUAUAUGUGGAUUGUCAACUGAAUGAUCAUGAGCAGAAAGUACUAUUUCUGAAUCUAUUGCCAGUAUUUAUAUUUGCCACUGAAAUUAUUUGUCACCUGAAUGUAAUUUUCUGGAAGGCUGAAUCAAGUACCUGUCUGUGUGAA